GACGAACGCUGGCGGCGUGCUUAACACAUGCAAGUCGAACGGAAAGGCCCUGCUCUUGUGGGGUGCUCGAGUGGCGAACGGGUGAGUAACACGUGAGUAACCUGCCCUUGACUUUGGGAUAACUUCAGGAAACUGUGGCUAAUACCGGAUAUGAGCUCCUGCUGCAUGGUGGGGGUGGGAAAGUUUCGGCGGUUGGGUAUGGACUCGCGGCUUAUCCUCUUGUUGUGGGGGUAGUGGCUUACCAAGGCUUUGACGGGUAGCCGGCCUGAGAGGGUGAACGGACACAUUGGGAAGGAGAUACGGCCCAGACUCCUACGGGAGGCAGCAGUGGGGAAUAUUACACAAUGGGAGGGAGCCUGAUGCAGCAACGCCGCGUGCGGGAUUACGGCCUUCGGGUUUUAGACCGCUUUCGCCUGUGACGAAGCGUGAGUGACGGUAAUGGGUAAAGAAGCACCGGCUAACUACGUG
rnacentral:rRNA from 1 species